rnacentral:rRNA from 1 species
CAGCACCUCAAGUGGUCAGGAUGAUUAUUGGGCCUAAAGCAUCCGUAGCCGGCGCUGUAAGUUUUCGGUUAAAUCUGUACGCUCAACGUACAGGCUGCCGGGAAUACUGCAGCGCUAGGGAGUGGGAGAGCUAGACGGUACUCGGUAGGAAGGGGUAAAAUCCUUUGAUCUAUUGAUGACCACCUGUGGCGAAGGCGGUCUACCAGAACACGUCCGACGGUGAGGGAUGAAAGCUGGGGGAGCAAACCGGAUUAGAGACCCGAGUAGUCC